rnacentral:rRNA from 1 species
UUAUUUUUUCUUACUUUUGUUUUUAGUUUUAGAUUAUUGUUUUUAGAAGUAUCUUUGUUUUUAGUAUUUUAUAGAAUUAAUUCUUUUUUGUGAUAGUUUAUUUUACUGUGAGGGGUUGAUUGUUAUUAUAUUAUAAGUAGAUUUAUUGUCGUACCUUUUGCAUCAGGGUUUAUUAAAAUUUUUUAUUUAUUAUAAUUUUCCCGAAAUUGGAGGAGAUAACCUUAAGUGCGUGGUUUGUGUGAUAAAAUGAUUUGUAACUUAAGGUUAGUAGUGAUAUGCUAUUCACUUUCUAUGAUAUCUGGUUCCUUAAGAAUUGCAUUUAAUGCAGGAAUUUCUUUUUAGUUGACUUACUUUAUUGUUGGGGAGAUUCUUAGUUCGGGGGGGAUUAGCUCCCCGAAUUAUUCAUAACUAGUUAUGCUGGCUAGGUAUAUGUAGGCUUAGUAAUGGCCUUUUUAUUUUGUUAUAAUUAUUACCUUUUGUGUUUUAAUUUUUUUAGGUUUGAAUUUUUAUUGGGGGGUUUAUUUUAACUUUGUUGUGAAGUAAUUAUGAUAAAAUUAGUAGCAUUGUUAAUUGAAGUUUAGGAAUUCGGCAAUUUUAGCCUUCGCCUGUUUAUCAAAAACAUGGUCUAUUGAGUUUUUAUUUUAGAUCUGACCUGCCCGAUGAUUUUAUUGAAUGGCCGCAGUAUAUUGACUGUGCAAAGGUAGCAUAAUCAAUUGUCUUUUAAUUGGAGGCUUGUAUGAAUGGUUUGACGAGGGGCUUUCUUUCUUAAUUUCAUUAUUGUUAAUUUAAUUUGUUAGUUCAAAGGCUGACAUUAAGUUGAGGGACGAGAAGACCCUAUAGAAUUUUAUUUUUUUAUUUAAUGGUUUAUUUUAUUUUUGAUUAGUUUUUCAUUAUUAAAUUAAUUUUGUUGGGGUGACAGAGUAAUUUUAUUAACUUACUUUGGAUUUUUCAUUAAUUAGUGUGUUUUUGAUCCUUGAUUCUGGAUAAUAAGAUACAAUUACCUUAGGUUUGACGAGGGGCUUUCUUUCUUAAUUUCAUUAUUGUUAAUUUAAUUUGUUAGUUCAAAGGCUGACAUUAAGUUGAGGGACGAGAAGACCCUAUAGAAUUUUAUUUUUUUAUUUAAUGGUUUAUUUUAUUUUUGAUUAGUUUUUCAUUAUUAAAUUAAUUUUGUUGGGGUGACAGAGUAAUUUUAUUAACUUACUUUGGAUUUUUCAUUAAUUAGUGUGUUUUUGAUCCUUGAUUCUGGAUAAUAAGAUACAAUUACCUUAGGGAUAACAGCGUAAUUUCCUUGGAGAGUUCAUAUCGAUGGGGGAGAUUGCGACCUCGAUGUUGGAUUAAAGUUAGUGUAGGGUGUAGCAGCUUUAUUACUUGGUCUGUUCGACCAUUAAAUUUUUACAUGAUCUGAGUUCAGACCGGCGUGAGCCAGGUUGGUUUCUAUCUUUAAUUUUAUUUGAAUGCUUUAGUACGAAAGGACCAAGUAUUUGGAAUAGUUCUUUAUUGUUGAUUGACUUUAAAUGU